rnacentral:tRNA from 1 species
GAAAUCAAUCAAAAAGGGGUGAACCUGGUCUGCAAAACCAGAGAUUCUGGGUUCGAUCCCCAGCGGAUUCA